rnacentral:lncRNA from 1 species
AGCCACUACAAUCUCUAAUCGAAUAAUAGGCCAGUACCUCCUAUAAAAGAGGGGGGAAGCUAUCGAGGCUUGGUACUUUAUCCUCAGCCAUGGACCAUACCACUCUUUGCACCUCCUCCUUAGUCACCUCAUGAAGAAGGUCUCUAUUCUCCUGCACAGUGACCAAACUAUCAGGAGGAGGAAAGUGGCUAACUCAAUUCGCUCCCAGCUCUAUCAUCUAUCAGGAUCUAAAGAAGCACACCAUCUCCUGCCUGAUCUCAUCAUCAUCCGUCAACCACUAUCCCUGGUAUCUCUGAUCGUCUGGAUCCAGUUCAUAUGCCUC